ACUCGAUAGCUCAAUUGGCGGAGCGCUUUGGUUUCGCAAGAGACCCUAGAGGCUGCAGGUUCGAUCCCUGCUCGGGUGCCA
rnacentral:tRNA from 1 species